UACGUAGGGUGCAAGCGUUAAUCGGAAUUACUGGGCGUAAAGCGUGCGCAGGUGGCUUCGCAAGUCAGGCGUGAAAUCCCCGGGCUUAACCUGGGAAUGGCGUCUGAAACUACGGAGCUGGAGUGUGGCAGAGGGAGGUAGAAUUCCACGUGUAGCGGUGAAAUGCGUAGAUAUGUGGAGGAAUACCGAUGGCGAAGGCAGCCUCCUGGGCCAACACUGACGCUCAUGCACGAAAGCGUGGGGAGCAAACAGG
rnacentral:rRNA from 1 species